UCAAGUGACUAAGUGUAUGUGGUGGAUGCCUUGGCGAUCACAGGCGAUGAAGGACGUAGUAGCUUGCGAUAAGCUGCGGGGAGCCGGCAAACGGGCUUUGAUCCGCAGAUUUCCGAAUGGGGGAACCCACCGACUUAGGUCGGUAUCACGCACUGAAUACAUAGGUGCGUGAGGCGAACGGAGCGAACUGAAACAUCUAAGUAGCUCCAGGAAAAGAAAUCAACCGAGAUUCCGAAAGUAGCGGCGAGCGAAAUUGCAGCAGCCCAGUGUUCUGAUAGCACGAACGACAGCAGAAGGGUCUGGAAAGGCCUGCUAUAGAGGGUGAUAGCCCCGUAUGCGAAAUCGAACGUGUGGUACUAAGGAACCGAUAAGUAGGGCGGGACACGUGACAUCCUGUCUGAAGAUGGGGGGACCAUCCUCCAAGGCUAAAUACUCGUGAUCGACCGAUAGUGAACCAGUACUGUGAAGGAAAGGCGAAAAGAACCCCGGGAGGGGAGUGAAAUAGAACCUGAAACCGCAUACAUACAAACAGUAGGAGCCUCGUUAAGGGGUGACUGCGUACCUUUUGCAUAAUGGGUCAGCGACUUACGUUUUGUGGCGAGCUUAACCGAGUAGGGGAGGCGUAGCGAAAGCGAGUUCGAAUAGAGCGAAGAGUCUCAAGGCGUAGACCCGAAACCAGAUGAUCUAUCCAUGGCCAGGUUGAAGGUGUGGUAACACACACUGGAGGACCGAACCGACUAGUGUUGCAAAAUUAGCGGAUGAGCUGUGGAUAGGGGUGAAAGGCUAAACAAAUCUGGAGAUAGCUGGUUCUCCCCGAAAACUAUUGAGGUAGUGCCUCGUGUAUGACUCCAGGGGGUAGAGCACUGUUAUGGCUAGGGGGACAUGGCGUCUUACCAAACCAUGGCAAACUCCGAAUACUUGGAAGUUUGAGCACGGGAGACAGAGCACCGGGUGCUAACGUCCGGACUCAAGAGGGAAACAACCCAGACCGCCGGCUAAGGUCCCUAAUAUUGACUAAGUGGAAAACGAAGUGGGAAGGCUAAGACAGUCAGGAAGUUGGCUUAGAAGCAGCCAUCCUUCAAAGAAAGCGUAAUAGCUCACUGAUCGAGUCUUUCUGCGCGGAAGAUGUAACGGGGCUAAGUCAAUAACCGAAGCCGCGGAUUCACACUUAUGUGUGAGUGGUAGGGGAGCGUUCUGUAAGCCUGCGAAGGUGACUCGUAAGGGUUGCUGGAGGUAUCAGAAGUGCGAAUGCUGACAUGAGUAACGUUAAAGCGGGUGAAAAGCCCGCUCGCCGUAAGCCCAAGGUUUCCUGCUCUACGUUCAUCGGAGCAGGGUGAGUCGGCCCCUAAGGUGAGGCUGAGAAGCGUAACUGAUGGGAACAAGGUUAAUAUUCCUUGACCACCGCUGAAUGCGAAGGGGGGACGGAGUAUUGAAGAUCAUCCGGGUGUUGGAUAUCCCGGUUUGCGAGCGUAGGAGGCUGACAGGCAAAUCCGUCAGCGAAUCUCCGAGGCAAAGCAUCGAGCUCUCUUUUGAGCGAAGUGAUUGGAUGUGCUUCCAGGAAAAGCCUCUAAGCUUCAGCUUGCAUAUGACCGUACCGUAAACCGACACUGGUGGGCGAGCUGAAUAUGCUCAGGCGCUUGAGAGAACUCAGGAGAAGGAACUCGGCAAAUUGACACCGUAACUUCGGGAUAAGGUGUGCCUUUGUAGCGUGGAGGGAGAAACACCCCGAGCGCGAAGAGGUCUCAGAUAAUCGGUGGCUGCGACUGUUUAUUAAAAACACAGCACUCUGCAAAGACGAAAGUCGACGUAUAGGGUGUGAUGCCUGCCCGGUGCUGGAAGAUUAAUUGAUGGGGUGCAAGCUCCUGAUCGAAGUCCCAGUAAACGGCGGCCGUAACUAUAACGGUCCUAAGGUAGCGAAAUUCCUUGUC
rnacentral:rRNA from 1 species